rnacentral:tRNA from 1 species
CAGGGAGACAACAAAAUGUUUAAUAUUAUUAUUUUGUCACCUUAGGUCGAUCGGUAUCUCACGUUCUUAAUUUGUUAAGAAUUUCAUUUCCUAAGUUUUUCUAGGUCACACCCAUUAUUUUUCCUGGGCCAUUAGCUCAGGUGGUUAGAGCGCACCCCUGAUAAGGGUGAGGUCCCUGGUUCAAGUCCAGGAUGGCCCAUAUCUCUAUGUUGGGGGUAUAGCUCAGUUGGUAGAGCGCCUGCUUUGCAAGCAGGAUGUCAGCGGUUCGAGUCCGCUUACCUCCACUGAUUACCACCUCUUCCAUAACAGGUAGAAAGGAAAUGUUUUGAGUUGUGAUCAUUAUUCUGAACGAAUCUAGCUUCCUAAUGAAAUCAUUAAGAUGCUGGACUCAUUGAAUUAAUUUCAUUGUUUUCAGAGAACCUUGACAACUGCAUAGAUUAUUUUUAAAGACUAUAAGCAUCUUUAAUGAUGCAGAUUUAUUAUUUGUGCAAAUGCAUUAAUAACAAUUCUAUUAAGCUGAUGCUUCAAUUUUUGAAGUUAUU